rnacentral:rRNA from 1 species
CAGGGAAUAUUGGUAAUGGGCGCAAGCCCGAACCAGCAACGCCGCGUGUGCGAAGAAGGCCUUCGGGUUGUAAAGCACUUUUUAAGGGGAUGAGGAAGGACAGUACCCUUAGAAUAAGCCUCGGCUAACUACGUGCCAGCAGCCGCGGUAACACGUAGGAGGCAAGCGUUAUUCGGAUUUACUGGGCGUAAAGCGCGUGCAGGCGGUUUGGUAAGUUGGAUGUGAAAGCUCCCGGCCUAACUGGGAGAGGUCGUUCAAUACUACCAGACUAGAGGAUGGGAGAGGGAGGUGGAAUUCCGGGUGUAGUGGUGAAAUGCGUAGAUAUCCGGAGGAACACCAGUGGCGAAAGCGGCCUCCUGGCCCAUUUCUGACGCUCAGACGCGAAAGCUAGGGUAGCAAACGG